ACUCCUACGGGAGGCAGCAGUCGAGAAUAAUUCACAAUGGGGGAAACCCUGAUGGUGCAACGCCGCGUGGAGGAUGAAGGCCCUAGGGUCGUAAAACUCCUGUCAUUCGAGAGCAAGACCUGGGUGUUAACAGCACACAGGGUUGAUAGUAUCGAAAAGAGGAAAGGGACGGCUAACUUCGUGCCAGCAGCCGCGGUAAUACGAAGGUCCCGAGCGUUGUUCGGAAUCACUGGGCGUAAAAGGGAGCGUAGGCGGUUCGGUAAGUCAGGUGUGAAAAU
rnacentral:rRNA from 1 species